rnacentral:misc_RNA from 1 species
AGUAUGAGAGGUCGGAAGAACAUUGUAACAAUGAGGUCAGCUUAAGCCGAUAACAAACACUGGGCGGGACUUAAGGUUAUUAAAAUUUGGAAAUUAAACACUUGGGAUCGGAAACAUCAUUAAGCCGGAUUAAAAUCUUAACUUUAUUGAACCACUAUCUACAAUAUUUAUGAAAGGAGGAUCGGAUGUCACGAAGACCUAAUGUUGGUUCAAUUUCAUUUGACAAGAGAUCGAAAGUGUGAUUAACUGGCAAAGAGACUUAGUAAUUGAUUUGAGAGAUCGGUAAGGAUUUAAAUGUCAUGGAGACUAAGUAUUGGGUCGAUUCUUUUUGAAGAGGGAUCUGAAAUGUGAUUAACUGGCAAGGAGAGAUCGGAAAUGACCGGAGGCUUGAUGCUGGAGAUCAACUUCAAAGCCUAUUGAUUUCCGG